rfam:Triticum urartu cultivar G1812 contig410481, whole genome shotgun sequence.
ACAGUACUCCCUCCGUCCGAAAAUACUUGUCGGACAAAUGAAUAAAAAUGGAUGCAUCUAUAACUAAAAUAUGUUAGAUAUAUCCAUUUUUUGACAAGUAUUUUCGGACGGAGGGAGUACAUA